AAUAUUUUCAUAACCUUUCGAUAAAUUUUUACUUUCGACCUCAAAUUUAUUUUUUCAAAAAAUGGCUGACACGGCAAAAUUUUCAAGUGAAAUUCUCGAGUAUCACAAUCGAUAUCGAAGUCAACAUGAGUCACCGGAUCUGGCAAUCGAUGAUCGAUUGAAUAAAUUUGCUCAAGAGUGGGCCGAAGAUUUGGCAAAGCGAGAUAUAUUUGAGCGGAGGCCAAACAAUUCUUACGGUGAGAAUCUUUAUGUUGCUACAAGUAAAAAUAUAAAUUGGGAAAUGCUACCCGAGGAAGUUGUUAAGUCAUGGUACAAUGAGAUAAAGUUUUACAAGUUUGAUGAGCCGUCUGCAGAUAAUUUAACGGAAGUAGGUCACUUUACACAACUUGUAUGGAACAAUACCGAGACAAUGGGAUUAGGAAUUGGUAUAAGUGAAUCUAAAAAGAUCUAUAUCGUGUGUAAUUACAAUCCUCCUGGUAAUAUUAAAGGCCAAUUUAAGGAUAACGUACGACGUGCCAAAAAUCAUACCGAGAGACCAGAGACAAAUAAUAAUAGUAGAGCUAGUGUUCACAAAGACUCAGAAAAUGAGAUGCCGGUGGAUUUUGUCCCGAGUCCAUCAUUGGAACAGCUCGGGAUAGACCCCAGGAUGCAACCAAAACCUGAAAUGUCAUUGAGGAUGAGAAAAUUAUUUGGAAUCUCUUCAAAUAAAAUAACUGAGUGGAUAAGUUGGUUAAUUAAAAUAAUUGACAAAGCGAAACAGUAUGAAAAAUAUUUACGUCAAGGUCUUGAAGUAAUAAAGACAUUAAUAGAAGCAGUACAGUACAUAAAGAGAAAAAAAGAAUUAGAUCAUGCAUUUCUUCAAGGAAAUCAAGUUUUACUUCCAGGUAGAAGACCUAUUGAAGAAUUGGCAAUCGGAAAAGUAAAAAAAAAAAAAGAGAGACCGAAGCGAAAGUACGAGAUCAAUAAACCAUCAAAAGUACGAAAGCCAAAUAAAAUGAAAAGUGAUAACAAAAUAUCAAUGAGGCUUUUACAAAGAGAAGAGUCAGUGUUAAAUGAGAGCCAAAGGAAGAUAAUCGAUAAACCACAAUGGCGUCACUUAACAAAUGAUACGACAGAAGAAAAAGAUUCAAGUCAAGUGAAAGAUGUUAUGGAAACAUCAAAGAAAAUUUCCUGCCCGAUUGGAGUAACUUGGACGCCGAAAGAAUUCAAAAAGAAGGACAAAAAAACAGAGACAGAGACAGAGGCGGAGGACCGCGGGGAGGGUGCCAGAGAAAACUUUCCAGAAGUUCAAACUUGCUCAUUGCCGAUUAAGAGCAAAGAAGAAUUUGAGGAAUUAUUAAAGAGACUUAAAGAUGAGGCAGCUAUUUAUCAUUCGCUUUGUGGACGCUGGAAGAAAAUUAACGAACAGAUGGUCAAGCAAAUAAUUGACCGAACGGUUUUCCCCCCAGACGAGUUGUUCGAAGACACAGAAGUACUUCGCUACCGAUCUUAUAACGCAAAUUCAAUGCUAACUGAUGACUGGAGUCUCGAUUUGAGUGAUAAUGAGCCCUCAUUACAAGAUCAGACACAUCGAGAGCUAUUGAUUCACGACAAUAAGAGCAAAUUAUACUUCAACUUACAGUAAAAUCACUCGAUAAAGGAACUCGAGCAUUGCAAUGUAGGGCAGAGCUGUAUCAGGAACCGUCCAGGACUUUUUCUAGUUUAUUUUUGAGGUGGACUUUUUUUAAUGUCAGACCCGAUAGCAUUGAGAUCGAAGCGACAUCGAAAGAGUCGUUUGAUCCGCGUGGGAAUAAACUUUCCGUUGUACAGGAACUCGUUCUUAAAGUUAUAUUUUAUACCCUCUAGCCUCUUAAAUCCAAAAGAAUGAGUUCAUUUUAUUUAGUUUUUACUUAAAUUUUUUUCGUAACAUUAUUUAUUUAUUUAACUUCUAUCGGUAGUACUUGGCUUCAAUAAACCGUUGGCAUGAAACUCUAAAAACCCUUGGAAAUGUAAUUGUCGAGAACGCUUUUGAUCGAUCCACUCAAUUCUAUUCCUUCUAAUUAACUCUUUCGAAUGAGAAAGAAAUAAGUAUAUAUAUAUAUUUAUAUUGAGUGGAUGGUAUACUUGCUCUAGGUCUCGCUUUAUUCCGAUUACUUUUAUAUCUCUAUUAUAUAUUUUUAUUUAAUAAAAUUUUAAAUAUUUUUCUCUUUAAACUAUUCGAAAAUUUUCAAAUUUACGUUUCAGAAAAUAUAAAGUUAUAAAAUAGAAGCAUAAAAAAAUUGUACCCAGUAGGGUGGCCCAAAAAAACCGACUAUUUUUUUUUUCGAGUCUCUAAUGAAAAUUUGUUAGUUUAAGAUGUUUUAAGAAGCCUCUCCAAAAAUCAGCUCGAUAAAAAAUUUUCAAGAGGUCGCUCACGAAUUUUGAAAAUAUAAAAAAUAAUCGAAAUUAGGAUUUUUUGUUUCUGAAUUUUUUCUUCCUCGUGGCAGCAAUAUUUUAUAUCUGUAAAAUUAUGACUAUGCUGAAAAUUUCAGCUCAAUAUUUAAAUAUUUAAACGGCGCUCAAGAAUUUUGAAUAUUAACUGAUAAUAUGUAACUAAUACUUUGAAUUAGUUUUUGUAUUUUUUUAUAACUCAAUUACUGUCAUUUCACUUAAAUAUAACUUUUGCAUAACCGAAAAUAUACAGGACAGUCUUAAACAAUAAAAUUGGGUAAGUUUUGAAUAAGCAAAAAAACCCAAAAAUUGAAUUAAAAAAUAAAAAAGUAUGUAAAUAACUUAUUAUUUAUAUUUCUCGGGUUGUAUUUUUAUUCAUUAUGAUACAAAUUGAUGGUAAAAAAAUUGAGAAGGUUUAUUAUUAAUAUUCAAGGGUCGCUCGAAAACAUCCAAGAGACAGUACUCGGAAACAUUCAAAAUUCUUGAGCGACGUUUAAAUAUUUUAAUUUUGAGCUGAAAUUUUCAGGGUAGUCAUGAUUUCAUAAAUAUAAACUAUAGCUGCCACGAGAAAGAAGAAAUUUAGAACAAAAAAAUCCUAAUUUCGAUCAUUUUUGAUAUUUUCAAAAUUCGUGAGCGACCUCUUGAAAAUUUUUUGUCGAGCUGAUUUUUGGAGAGGCGUCUUGAAACAUCUUAAACCAAAAAAUUUUCAUUAGAGACUCGAAAAAAAAAUAGUCGGUUUUUUGGGCCACCCUAGUACCCAGUGAUCAAAAGCUACAAAAAAUAAAUGCCGGCUUAAGGGGGUCGUGUUCCAGCCUCCCCCAUAGAAUCAUUAAUUAAAAAAAACUUUGAAAACAUUAAAAUUAAUCCAGAGAAAUCGGUAGAGAUCUGAAUCCAAAUGAAUAAAUUUCCCGGCAAUUUGACUUGAGCUGCUGAUAAAAAGUUGUUUAUUGGUUUUUAUCUUUAUAUCGCACUAUAUAUUAAGUAACUUUUCUAUUCUUCCGUUGUAUCCUAGUUUUUUUGACUAAGAAAAUAUAACUUGAGUCAUUGGAUAUUUUUGUAUGGAGAUUUGUAGUCGUUUUGUGGUUUCCGAUAGUUGCGAUAAAUUUUCUAGUCUUUCGUAUUUAUAAGCUUGUAGGUGUGUUGUCUGUAUGUGUGUGUACUGGAAACUUUGUUCCCUUGUCCCAUUUCAGUCAGCCAGAGCUUUUGUGUAUGUCUAAUGCUGCGCAUCUGCUUUGUUUGAAGCUCAUAAACACACGGGGAAAACUUUUCACGCUUUAUAAAUAAAUUUUAUAUAUAUUUUAUUUGUUUCGGCAAUAUUUUUCUUACAUUCUAUUUUAAACAACUCUAUUUUGUAAACUAUUGUUCUAUAACUUUUUUAUUUUUUAUCAAAAAUACUUCGAUACAAAAAAAUACAAUAGC